rnacentral:rRNA from 1 species
CGCGCAGGCGGAUCUGCCAGUCUGUCUUAAAAGUUCGGGGCUUAACCCCGUGAUGGGAUGGAAACUACAGAUCUAGAGUAUCGGAGAGGAAAGUGGAAUUCCUAGUGUAGCGGUGAAAUGCGUAGAUAUUAGGAAGAACACCAGUGGCGAAGGCGACUUUCUGGACGAAAACUGACGCUGAGGCGCGAAAGCCAGGGGAGCGAACA